AGACCCGAAACCCGGUGAUCUAGCCAUGGGCAGGUUGAAGGUUGGGUAACACUAACUGGAGGACCGAACCGACUAAUGUUGAAAAAUUAGCGGAUGACCUGUGGCUGGGGGUGAAAGGCCAAUCAAACCGGGAGAUAGCUGGUUCUCCCCGAAAGCUAUUUAGGUAGCGCCUCGUGAAUUCAUCUCCGGGGGUAGAGCACUGUUUCGGCUAGGGGGCCAUCCCGGCUUACCAACCCGAUGCAAACUGCGAAUACCGGAGAAUGUUAUCACGGGAGACACACGGCGGGUGCUAACGUCCGUCGUGAAGAGGGAAACAACCCAGACCGCCAGCUAAGGUCCCAAAGUCAUGGUUAAGUGGGAAACGAUGUGGGAAGGCCCAGACAGCCAGGAUGUUGGCUUAGAAGCAGCCAUCAUUUAAAGAAAGCGUAAUAGCUCACUGGUCGAGUCGGCCUGCGCGGAAGAUGUAACGGGGCUAAACCAUGCACCGAAGCUGCGGCAGCGACACUCAGGUGUUGUUGGGUAGGGGAGCGUUCUGUAAGUCUGCGAAGGUGGCCUGUGAGGGUUGCUGGAGGUAUCAGAAGUGCGAAUGCUGACAUAAGUAACGAUAAAGCGGGUGAAAAGCCCGCUCGCCGGAAGACCAAGGGUUCCUGUCCAACGUUAAUCGGGGCAGGGUGAGUCGACCCC
rnacentral:rRNA from 2 species